rnacentral:rRNA from 1 species
GAGAUCAUAUCGAGCGAAUCCAAAACGAACAAGUCUCCCAACGUGCAUACCAUCCAUUUGCAUGUUGUUGUGAGCCGCAUGGAAACUCAUACACAUGUGGUGGCAGCCGUCUGCUGUGCUUUAUUGUGCAGACAAUGGCUUAUGAGUGGCCGUGUGCCUGUUGAACAACGGUGACCAAUUUGGCGUCUACGCCGCAUCUAGCUUCUGCCUGGACCGUCGGUAGCGAUGAAAGAUGCGGAGAAAGUUCCUCUGUUUUGGCUCGUUCUUCGAGACCAACUCAGGGUUGAGCAGACUUAAUGAGCCGCGCUUGGCGGCCGCCAAAACCCAAAACACAACCAGUCUAUUUGACAUUGUUCAGUAUGCGUUGACAUUAUGUUAAUGUACAAAUCUUGGCGGUGGAUCACUCGGUUCGUGGAUCGAUGAAGAACGCAGCCAGCUGCGAUAAAUAGUGCGAAUUGCAGACACAUUGAGCACUAAGAAUUCGAACGCACAUUGCGCUAUCGGGUUCAUUCCCGAUGGCACGUCUGGCUGAGGGUCGAAUUAUGGCAAACUAUCUUCGCGGUUUCGGCUGUGAAGCAUUCGGCAAGCAGUUGCUGUGUUGUUGGUCGGUCGGUCUCGGUCGGUCGAUUGACAGCAUGAUGGCUCCUUGCUUAGUUGUUGUGUGAAGAGACGUUAACACCGAACGGCGGUGAUAUUGGUGAUCGCAAAAGCGAGAAGUAUGCCACUUCAUAGGGGCAACAACCAGCAUACGUAUGUUGGCUGGUUGAUGAACUGUUGGCAACGGAGUGACGGUGUGAUCAGGAACGUUUGUAUUUGACCUCAGCUCAGUCGUGAUUACCCGCUGAAUUUAAGCAUAUAUA